AUUGAUUGUGCACGGCUACGUAAUCAAAGAGAGUAGCAUCAAGUAGAUUAGCAUGUAGACCUAAAAUCGCACUCUGUGACGAAGGUUUGACCCCAGCCUUUGCCAAUGUAGCUGACAUGUCAUCCGAAAUGUCACUCGAGCGUUAAACAGACAACUGUCGUCGAGUGAAGCCGUGAAGAGCAACAACUCCAUGUGCUGAUUACGGACGUCGGAAUAUACAACAGAGGGUGCACUGGGGAUUUCGAGGGCGACUAGACUGACCCCCUCUCACUCUCCCUCCCUCAUUCCAGUCUCUCCCUCGCGCAGAGUUUUCCGUCCUGUGACAGGAUAACAUCGCUAACAAAGAGCAUUUUCUGGCAGUAAGAAACUGCACAAAUGGAAGCAGUUGAGAAAACUCUCACUUACCGAGACGACACCGGACCUUAUAGAAAGCUGCUCCAUGGAAAUGAAGACAAAAACCAGUGCAACACUAAGGCAAAAAGUGACGAAUCCAAUUAUGUUGAUUUGGAUGAUUUACUUGAUAUCAAUUCAGAGUGCACAAAAACUGUUAAAGUGACUUUCACCGGUGACGGUAACCAGCUUGCCGUUUUCAAAUGCAACAGUGAUACGUCCGGAGAGAGGAGCCCCGGGGUUCGCGAGAUUGAUGACAAUGUGGAUCAAAUCUAUGAGGAAACAUCGAAGGACAGGUGGGCAGAUAGGCCUGUCUCGGAAGAUCCCCCCAUGGACACUUAUUUGACAGAAUUUAACAGCAAUGUGGACUUGGGGAAUAACAAUACGAGAGAACCCCAGAGCGAAAUUGUGCCUCGUGAUUAUAAUGUCCCUAGCGAGUGUGAGGAGUUACAAUACACAGACAUGUAUUUGAACAGUAAAACCGAAUCGGACGACGGUGAGAGCGUAGUAUUGUCAGACCAUUGUGCGCCUGAUACGGUGAUAGACGAAUCGCACUACAUUACAACGCACGAAAUUCAACUGACAGAGCAUGACCAUGAUGUCGAUUGUGAUUUUGGACGGGGAAACUGUUGGGAUAUUGAGGACGAUAAUCUGGUUUAUUCAUUUGUGGAUUAUGCCUCUUUUGAAAGCGAUGAAACAACGGAGGAAACUUUGAUAGGCCUAGUGGAUGGUAGGAGCCAGGCGAAAGUAAAAAGCAGCCAGGCGCAAUGUAAUGUGCACCAACGUGUUUCUGGUUGUGCAGUUGUCAGCACUGAGAGUGAGUUUUGUGACUCUGACAAAUGCCCCAGCUCAGAUGAAAGCAUUUGUAAAAAACAAAACAGUAGUGGGAAUUCGGCGGGGCAAAUUCACCUGUCAAUCAAGACGUCAUCAAGAGCAAUAAACGACUCUAACAAUAUAAUUGAGAAUGAAAACAUUUGUUAUAAUACCAAGCACACGGGAAACAGGAGUCACUUCUUUUUUACAAGCACUGACGCCAGAGCGGAAGCCUUGUGCGAUAGAUCCCAAUAUUUUAUCCCAGCCCCGGGACGUCAACACUUUGCAACUAAAUUAAGAGGGAAAGAUGUUAACGAAUAUUCCAGCGGUGCGUCAAGUUCGAUUAGUGAACUGGACGACGCUGAUAAAGAAGUGCGUAAUUUAACCGCCAAAUCAUUUAGGAGUUUGGCAUGUCCCUAUUUCGAUGCUAUAAAUUUGAGCACUUCAAGUGAGUCUUCAAUGUCAGAAAAUGGGCUUGGCUUAAACAAGUGGUCAGCUUUCGUUGACCUUAAAUAUGGCAAUAUGUCACAUGGCAGAGAGCAAAAUCUAAUCGCCCAUAAGAGUGCAACUGCAACUUUUGAAAUGAGCAAGAACGCAGACUAUAAGAGUAUACAUGGUAUUGCCAUAAGCAAUAAGAAAGUACCCCAAACCAAUAUGUUUUCUUUGAAUACAAAAAUAUCUAGUCCACAACAUGCAUCUUCCUCUACCCAAAAUGUAGAGCUUACAGGCCCAUUUGAACCAGGCAGUGAGGUUAUCACUUUGACAAAGACAUUGAAUUUUUGCUGUAAUGUUGAAGCGGGGUCACCUGAACCCGGGAAGUCUCCUAAGUAUUCAGAAAAUGUGUCAGGAGCACGUUCCAUGGAUGAAGUUACCGGCACCUUGCCAGCUAAGCCAGGAUAUGAAGUGAGCUCCCAACACAGUGACGCGGGUGAUAGCAUGGAAGGCACACAUAAGAAUGCAAGUUUCGCAUCAAGUCUCUUAAAAAAUGUAAUUUCCAAAAAAAUGCAAUUUGAACAGGAGCGUAAGAUGGAGAGGGGGGAGAUACGGGACACGCAUCCCACGCACUCCCCAUGCUUUCAAUGCAAGGAUCAAGAUGGGAUAAGGGAGAGGGAUACAGAGAGAGGCGUGCAUAGUCAAUCCUCAAAAUCGGGUUCGGGAUGCACAAGCAAUUAUUCGGAUGAACAAGGGGCUGUGGACAGUAGACCUAAUUCUUGUGACCCCAAGGAAGAGCGUACAAGAACAUUAGCAAGCUUUCAGCCCAUAAAUGAGGCACGACUAGAUUCUCAAAGGGAUGCAUGCGAGCCCACAAGAGGAUCCCUGAGCCAUAGCCAAAACAGCGCAUUCAAAUCAUGGAGGGAUGGUGAGCCAGAGCCCCAAGAUGAACAUGACAUUUGUACCGUUUUAGAUGGGACACACUCCACAACAGAUAACACGGGGGAAAGGGAGUUAGACACCAGGUCUGUAAGUAGCAAGCUAACUAAAUUGUCACACUUGUUUGUUCCAAGUUCCCAGCGUCUUCCUAAAGAUACGGAAUUGAAAGAACAGGUGCCAGACAGUACUUUCCUCGGUGCGCAAAAAGAGCAACAGGGGGACCGAGAGAGAAAGUUUAGACCUGACAACAAUGCAGGAAUCGUGAAAGGGUCAAAGGCACCCGAGAUAAAAAUACGCCUGAGGAGCGUAAAAGAAAACAAAUGCAAUCCGCUAAAUAUUGACAACUUGUUAACCCCUAAUAUAAAUUAUCCAAUAAAGUCAGCAGGUGACUCCAAAUGUCAGGUGCUGCCUGCGUCAGACAGAGUGCCACACUUUACGGUUAGGGAUAUAAGAGACAAUAAGUGCAAGUUUCAGACGCCAAUUCAUCAGGUAAGAGACGUACGUAAAUUGGUCAAGAGUUCAUAUCGUUUAGUCUCAGUGGAUAACAGCGAGAGUAAAGGCGCAGUCGCCCCUGUAACUGCCUCAUUACGCGAAGAUAAUAAAGCUUCUAAGAAACUACCCGGUACAAAAUCGCCUCCCUCUUCAAUUGUAAUAAAAUGUCAGUCUGUAAAUACAAAUAGCAGUACUAAACAAGGUGUGCUUGUAACCGAGGCUCCAAAGCAGAGACAAAUUGAGAACGAUAGGUCAUCCCCCAAACCAUCUCCAGACUGUGCCAAAAAUGAACCCACGUCGCUGCACAGGGCGACGGGCAGACCUCCAAUUGGCUUCGCUAAACACCCCAACACAGAUCAGUCCGAGGCUAAACAGAAGCAGGAAAAAAUGGUCGAGGCAGUUGAACGCAAACCGGAGUCGAAAAUACCAAAACAGGUGGCGUUAGAGAAACUAAAGGCGGCCGUUAAAACAAUGGAACAGCUUUAUGUUUUUGACAGAAAUGAAUGGAAGCGCAAGAGCCAGGCUCCCUGGCCUAUUACAGACAGUCAUGUUCUGUCACUCAUUGCUAAAGAGGAGCACGGUGGCCCGGAGGAGCUAGGUUCAGCAGGUGACAGAGAGAGGCUUAUUACAGAGACAAACACAGACAGGCUGCCAGAAACAUGCAACAUUCAAGAAGAGAAAGGUUGUCUAAGAAUAAUCCAUGUCCCAUUCACAAAGAACACAUUUAAAACCCAGUCACAACAAAGUAAAAUGUUUAGUAACAAAAGUGUGUUUCAUUUGGGGAACAGCAUUAAGACAGCUGUCAGUAGCAGCAGCUUUGCUAGUAGGAAUGGGCCACAACCCUGUUCUCCAUCACAUGCAACCUCUAUGGUGAAAAGCAUUAGCACUAAGACCCCGAAAGCUCCUCUCUCAUUGAAAAUAUGCCCCCCAAAACGAGUGCUGGUGGACAGGGGAAGGUUCAAAAGCAGCCCCACCACAGAGACAACACCACAGCCCAUCAAAUCUGGCAACCCAGACUCUGAAAACUACUUAACAAUACCUGUAGAAGGCCGGUGUGUCGGUCAAGUGAAACUGCCCAUUCAAGAGCAGGUAUUCCCAAGCAGCCCUGCUGCCAGUCAACCUGACAUCACCGACACCAAGAGAUCCGAGCAUAAUUCUAUCCAGUCUCUCAAACGGUCCCCUGUUGUCAUGGAGACGCGGCCCCCAGAUACCCCCACCAUCCCCACUACCGCCACCAUCUACCACCACUCUCUACCAGUGGUCAAGCAAGGAGCCCCCCAGCCGCAGGUGUUCUGCUUCUCCCCGUCCAUUGCCCCCUUGCCCACAACCCCUUCGGGGGGAGACCCCUUCCAGCCUACCCAGAGGAAGAUGCUCUUUGAUCCCACCACCGGACAGUACUACCUGGUGGACACUCCGAGUGAGCCAGUCACCCGGCGUCUCUUCGACCCUGAGACGCGCCAGUAUGUGGACGUGCCCAUGCCUAUGCCACAGCUGCAGCCAGUGACCCCCAUGUCCGUGUCCCCCCUGGCGCUGAACACGGGAGGGGUGUACUCACCCAACUACAUGAUCUACCCGGGGUUCCUCUCACCCAUGCUUCCUACACAGACGGUGAUGACACCCCAGGUCGCAUCCUACGUGGCAUCCCAAUUGGAGGACGAGAGCGGGAAUACCGCUCACAGGAAAUACACCCUGGUGCGUGGGGGGGGACAGGAGGGUAACAUGACGGGGGCAGAGAGCCCCUACUACAGUGCUACUGGAGGGUCAGUGCCAGCAUCAGUGCCCGUCACCUUGGGCCACCACGUCACCACCCGGGGGAGUGCGGCCUUGUCAGAAGGGAAACCACCGGUCAUCAGCAUCACGUCCCAGCAACGCCCGAGAAUCAUUGCACCACCCUCCUUCGAUGGUACGACCAUGAGCUUUGUGGUGGAGCAUCGGUAACCACCAAGGGAAUAUACACAACCCUUUAAAAUCCACUUUUUGACAGCAUAUACAGCAGGAGUGCUUCUUGAGGAGCCUGUCCUGUGAUAAGUAGAUGUUUCAUGGUAAUCUUCUCACACCCUUCUUCGCACCCAGUCCACCAAAUUCCACCUGAACCCACCAUGUUUCCAAGCCCAACCACCGGCCACCAUCACCGCCCCAUCCAACCGGUGGUCUUUGCAGCACGUCUGUAUCUGUAAAGCUAUGCUUCAUGCCUAAUACUUGUUUGUAGGGUAGCUAAUUGCUUUGUAUAACUGCUUUCAGGUCUGUAUUUAGAUUACAGACCAUCCCUUGUGUUCAAAAGCAUUUGGAUUCAGGCACUGCAAUAUUGUGAUUCAACAGGAAUUAAUGUUUUCCAAUUAAGAUUCUAUAAAAGUUACACCCGAUGCGUGCGUGUGCGAGUGUGAUUAUCCCAACAAAAAUAUUGAAUCAGUAGACGUACAAAAGACCCUAUUACACCAUACAUUGGAAAACAUUUGCAUUUGCAGGGGAGUUCAUUCUAAUUCAAUGCAUCAUAUAAAUUGAAAAUCCAAUCCAGGAAUUAUUUUUGAGGAGAGAUUUUUUUUUAUUCUCUAAACUGAGGCGUUUCCUUUUUUCUUGGCUCUUUGGUGACCUGGAGAAGUAGUAACAAGAUCACACUUCUAGCUGCACCCUUUGUUUCCGUCUUUUGCAGCUAAUAGCCACACAGUUAUUGGAUUGUAUGAUUUGAUGUGCUUUUAUAUGACAUUCGUAUGGCACUCUCCUUGUAUGCAAAUACUAUGAUGAUAGACUUAAGAGAAACACACUAAGUGUGUUGCCGAGAAAAGCUGGAGCCCUGGGACCUGCCACAUAUUUAGUGGUUGUUUAGAGUCAGAGGUUGGCUAUAUAGUAUAUUUGGGGCAAAUGUUUCCCAAGUAGCUUUACUGUAGGCUUAGGGUGGGACCUUAUAGAUAAAGUUGAGACAUUUUAUGGGAUAACCUCCUCUAUAGGUUUUGGCUAACUUUACACUCACGUGUAAAAGGAGAAUGACAUGGGUUAGGGUUAGUGUGUGUAUGUACUGUAUGUGUUUAGUAAUUGUGAGGUAUUAUGCAUUAUGUGCACAGACAACAGGCUAGCGUGUUACAGAAUAACUCAGAUAAAUUAGAAAUGCAUCAGUCGAUCAUUCAUUCAUACAUAAGCAUUUUGUAUUUAAGAUUUCACAAUGUUUUGGGAGGUUACCUACUUGUAAACAGGAACAGGAACGGGAAAGGAAUUGUCUUUCCCUUUGAUCCUUUUCUUAAAUGGCAAUUGUUUAAAAAAAUAGUGGAUACUGCUAAUUCAUGCCCAUUCUGAAUACCAAUUGUAAAAAAUGCUUAUAUUCAUAUUCAAUCAGGACCAGGGUUGGGGUGAAUUCAAAUUUGAAUUCAGUCAUUUCAAGUCAUGAUUUGAAAUCAAAUGAAUUCAUUGAAAAUUGCUCAUUAUUAAAACAAAUUGGUAUGUGGACUUUCACAUUUAUUAAUACAAUUUCAGCUCACACUCAGGGAUGAAUGAGCUAAAAUGAAAUUGACUCCAAAUUUAAAAAAUAUACUAAUCUCUUUCUUUCCUUUUGAACAAUUUUGCAGUGCAACAAUAGACACUCACGCUUAGAGCAAUGGUGCUUUCUUCAGUUUUAUUUUAUUUUUUAAGUUCCAUGUUUGAAUAUGCAUAUUGUAGGUUGCUGUUUUUCUUGUUUUACACAUUCGAAAAUGCAUUAAAGGUAUUUUCAGCUGCUGGUCAGUCUUUGAAACUGAAAAAAUAGAUUUGAGUUUUCUGUCUGUGACAACGUACUGUAUAAAAAAGUAUCCUGUGAGUUGAUUCCACUGUGGAAGAAAGUUUAGUCACAGUACAACCCACUGGGCCAUGGAUCUAUAACAUUUAAAAAAUGUUCACCUGUUACAAAAGGGUGGAUUAAAUUCACUAACGGUAUUUCACCUUUAUCAUGCAAACAUUUGGAUUCAAACGUCAAACAUGAUAACUUUCAAAAUGUCAAACCAGAGAAGACAAUUUAUUUGUAUUUUUAUUUGACAUGUCAUUUCUUGUGUUGUUGGUUUUUAUGAAAUGGUUCAUAUACUGUGGUAUGUAAACUGAAUUUCCUUCUUAAGGGUGUGUAAUUGCUGUUGGGCACAUUAGUGCACUUGGCAGGCUAGAUAAAUGAUUUUAUUCACCAACCAAAAGCAGUGCAUACUGUAACAGUUGAAAAUUGGUUGAUGAUGUUUCUUGUCCUUCAAAAGGAAAUUUGUUACGCAUUAAUCCUGAUGAAUUACUGAAUAGUAGAAUGAAGUCUAAUUGAAUCCUGACACAAAGUAGCACAUUCUACUGAACAGUACAGUACAUUCACACAACUUUCAGUGUCUUCAGAAAGUAUGGACUUUUCCAAAAUGUUUGUUGUGUUACAGCCUGCAUUUAAAAUGGAUUCAUUUGAGGUUUUGUGUCACACACAAUAGCCCAUAAUGUCAAAGUGGAAAUAUGUUUUUAGUAAUGUUAUUUAUUUUAUUUUAUUAUUGUCAAUUACAUGGCUCACUCUGUGUGCAAUAAUAGUGUUUAACAUGAUUUUUGAAUGACUACAUCCUCUCUAUACCCCACACAUACAAUUAUCUGUAAGGUCCCUCAGUCGAGAAAGUGAAUUUCAAACACAGAUUCAACAACAAAGACCAGGGAGGUUUUUCAAUGCCUCUCAAAGAAGGGCACCUAUUGGUAGAUGGGUAAAAAAAAGCAGACAUUGAAUAUCCCUUUGAGCGUGGUGAAGUUAUUAAUUACACUUUGGAUGGUGUAUCAAUACACUAAGUCACUACAAAGAUACAGGCGUCCUUCCUUCGUAACUAUGUUGCGUUUAAGGAAGGAAACCGCUCAGGGAUUUCACCAAGAAGCCAAUGGUGACUUUAAAACAGUUACAGAGUUGAAUGGCUGUGAUAGGAGAAAACUGAGGACAGAUAAACAACAUUGUAGUUACUCCAUAAUACUAACCUAAUUGACAAGAGUGAAAAGAAGAAAGCCAGUACAAAAUACAACUUUUCCAACAAGGCACUAAAGUAAUACUGCAAAAAAUGUGGCAAACCAAUGCCCUUUUUGUCCUGAAUACAAAGUGUUAUGUUUGGGGCAAAUCCAAUACAACACAUUACUAAGUACCACUUUCCAUAUUUGCAAGCAUAGUGGUGGCUGCAUCAUGUUAUGGGUAUGCUUGUAAUUGUUAAGGACUGGGGAGUUUUUUAGGAUAAAAAAGAAACAGAGCUUUGCUAAGCACAGGCAAAAUCCUAGAGGUUCGAUCUGCUUUCCACCAGACACUGGCAGAUGAAUUCACCUUUCAGCAGGACAAUAACCUAAAACAUAAAGCCAUAUUUACACUGGAGUUGCUUACCAAGAAGACAGUGAAUGUUCCUGAGUGGCCGAGUUACGCUUUGACUUAAAUCUACUUGAAAAUCUAUGGCAAAGACCUCAAAAUGGUUGUCUAGCAAUGCUUAACAACCAAUUUGACAGAGCUUGAAUAAUUUUUGUAAGAAUAAUGGGAAAAUGUUGCCCAAUCCAGAUGUGGAAAGCUCUUAGAGACUGACUCGGAAAGACUCACAGCUGUAAUCGCUGCCAAAAGGGUUUCCACAAAGUAUUUACUCAGGGGUGUGAAUACUUAUGUGAAUGAGACAUUUCUGUAUUUAAUUUUCAAUAAGUUAGCAAACAUUUCGAAAACAUGUUUUCACUUUGUCAUUAUGUGGUAUCGUGUGUAGAUGGGUGAGAAUUUUUUUAUUUAUUGAAUACAUUUUGAAUUCCGGCUGUUAAGGCACUGUAAAUAUGUGUAUUUCAUUUUGAAAUGUUAGAUGUUCUUGUCUAGCUGACUACAACAGAAAUAUGUGUAACAGUGUCAUUAACAUGUCAUUACCUUUAAGUCUGUUCAUUGUAUUUCCAUUUCUGAAAAAUGACAACCUGUCAGUAGCUCAACUUAGUGGAUGUUAGAAUUUCAGAACUUACUGAGUUAGAAUUUGUCACUAACAUGAACAGUCAUCAUUUGACAUUAUAUAUGUUAAGUGUAUGAUAUCAUUAUGUGGACUAAUAAAGCUUAGUCAAAGUGAUGACAUCAUUUAGUAAAGAGCUACCCAGUCACACUAGCAUAAAUUAUGAGUAAUUGAAUAAGCAAUCUCAGUUUACAACUUCACCUAAGCACAAUAUCCCUCCCCAAGCCCAUGAAUCUAACGGCUUUCGGGUUCCCUGAUGCCCAAUGAAAGAAACAUUCAGUGUAUAUGCUUGCUUUUUGAAAGACGUUGAAAGAUGGAUGGGGAAGUAAUGUUGAGAUGGGAGAAAUGUACGUGAACGAACAAGAGAGAAAGAAUGGAACAAUUAAGAUUGAUUGGCUACAUUAGCCUUGGAGUCUGCAAGACAGUCAUACAAAAGAGACAUUAUGUAUAUGUUGCGUACGUUUUGUGCUUUAUGGACUUUUAAGAUGGCGGCCUAAGAAGGAGCACGAGACCGGGAGGUCAAUGCAGAGUUUGUUUGUUAGAUGAAGCAGUGCCGUGUUUGCACUUGCAAGGUGACAGUGAUGAAAUAUGACAAGUCGACUGAGGUGAAAAAAAUGCACUGUAGGCCCAAAAGCCUACAAGUGUUUGGAAUAAAUCAAAUUGCAAGCUAAUUAACAUUGUCUGUUGCGUAUGUUGCUCAUCAUGGUUGUCUUGCUUGUGCCCAUUUUCUUUGCUAAGUUACUUCCAUAACAUAUUGACAGUGAUCAAAACAUUGGGAAUCACAGCUAUCUUUAAACACACAAAGUGG